rnacentral:tmRNA from 1 species
AAUCCCGCCGCCAAGGCUUAUCUAGAGGAUAGCGUUGCAGGGCGGCCCUCGGGCCGUCCGAGACUGCGAUCAUAUAAGACCUGGCGGACGGGGGCUGCAAUGCCCCCCGCCUCCACCAAAAGACCUCGUGAUGAGCGGGGCAUGGCCUGCGGGCCAUCAGGCCAAACCUCUGCGGAGUGAGGGCUUGUCCGAUGGGGGCGAAUUAGGAUCGACGUGGGUGAAUAAGGGUCGUUUAGACGUUGGGUGAGGUACGCCCGCUGAUCCCUUCGGGGAAAGGCUCGUCCGACAACUUGUGAAUGUCGCAAAUGACAACCACAAUGCUCAGGAUCUCCGCGUAGCUGCCUAACGGUGGCCGUGGUGAAACUAGGCGGGGCUGGAAUGGCCUAGCAACAGAAUAUUCCCAGG